GAGGACGCGGGGAAGCCGGCUGAGUCUGUCCCUCUUCGCCAGCAGCCACAUGGCCCCAGUGAGAAUAACUCCUCUUCACUGCACACCCAGACCCCCAGAAGGGGGUGCGACCAGAGCAGUGGACACUGCCGGAGAGCAGAGUCCUGAAGAGGACACCACUGAGCAGGAGCAACGCGGGUCCGGAUACCAGCAUUGGAGCAGACGAUGGACGGGACACCACCAGCAGAGGGCACCCUGCAGAAGACAGAGCUAAUUCCCAGACGUGCCAGCGAGAGGUGCUGAGGUGGGAGCACCCCGGACAAGAUGGUGUCAUCUCUGCCUAGCCUGCUUGAUGGCCCAUUAAGGAUGAUCAGCUACACAAUCGACCCAUUGAGA